rnacentral:rRNA from 1 species
CAAGUCGAACGGCAGCACGGGGGCAACCCGUGGUGGCGAGUGGCGAACGGGUGAGUGAAGCAUCGGAACGUGCCCUGGAGUGGGGGAUAACGUAGCGAAAGUUACGCUAAUACCGCAUAUUCUGUGAGCAGGAAAGCAGGGGAUCGCAAGACCUUGCGCUCUGGGGAGUGGCCGAUGUCGGAUUAGCUAGGUUGGUGGGGUAAAGGCCUACCAAGGCGACGAUCCGUAGCGGGUCUGAGAGGAUGAUCCGCCACACUGGGACUGAGACACGGCCCAGACUCCUACGGGAGGCAGCAGUGGGGAAUUUUGGACAAUGGGCGAAAGCCUGAUCCAGCCAUGCCGCGUGAGUGAAGAAGGCCUUCGGGUUGUAAAGCUCUUUCGGUGGGGAAGAAAUUGCAUAGGUUAAUACCCUGUGUAGAUGACGGUACCUGGAGAAGAAGCACCGGCUAACUACGUG